rnacentral:rRNA from 1 species
AAAUUGAAGAGUUUGAUCAUGGCUCAGAUUGAACGCUGGCGGCAGGCCUAACACAUGCAAGUCGAACGGUAACAGAAAGCAGCUUGCUGCUUUGCUGACGAGUGGCGGACGGGUGAGUAAUGUCUGGGAAACUGCCUGAUGGAGGGGGAUAACUACUGGAAACGGUA